rnacentral:tRNA from 1 species
UAGGGGCAUGGUGUAAUGGUAACACAACGGUCUUCGGAACCGUCACUGUGGGUUCGAUUCCCCCUGUCCCUGA